GAUGAACGCUGGCGGCGUGCCUAAUACAUGCAAGUCGAGCGAACGGACGAGAAGCUUGCUUCUCUGAUGUUAGCGGCGGACGGGUGAGUAACACGUGGAUAACCUACCUAUAAGACUGGGAUAACUUCGGGAAACCGGAGCUAAUACCGGAUAAUAUUUUGAACCGCAUGGUUCAAAAGUGAAAGACGGUCUUGCUGUCUCUUAUAGAUGGAUCCGCGCUGCAUUAGCUAGUUGGUAAGGUAACGGCCUACCAAGGCAACGAUGCAUAGCCGACCUGAGAGGGUGAUCGGCCACACUGGAACUGAGACACGGUCCAGACUCCUACGGGAGGCAGCAGUAGGGAAUCUUCGGCAAUGGGCGAAAGCCUGACGGAGCAACGCCGCGUGAGUGAUGAAGGUCUUCGGAUCGUAAAACUCUGUUAUUAGGGAAGAACAUAUGUGGAAGUAACUGUGCACAUCUUGACGGUACCUAAUCAGAAAGCCACGGCUAACUACGUG
rnacentral:rRNA from 1 species